rnacentral:rRNA from 1 species
CUGCUGCCUCCCGUAGGAGUUUGGGCCGUGUCUCAGUCCCAAUGUGGCCGGUCACCCUCUCAGGUCGGCUACUGAUCGUUGCCUUGGUGAGCCGUUACCUCUCCAACUAGCUAAUCAGACGCGGGUCCAUCUCAUACCACCUCAGUUUUUCACACCAAGCCAUGCGGUUUUGUGCGCUUAUGCGGUAUUAGCAGUCAUUUCUAACUGUUAUCCCCCUGUAUGAGGCGGGUUACCCACGCGUUACUCACCCGUCCG